GACGAACGCUAGCGGCAGGCCUAACACAUGCAAGUCGAGGGGUAACGAUGGAGCUUGCUCCAGGCGACGACCGGCGCACGGGUGAGUAACGCGUUUGCAACCUACCUCUAACUGGAAGAUAGCCCGAAGAAAUUCGGAUUAAUAUUCCAUAACACUAUGAUUUGGCAUCUUUUUAUAGUUAAAGUUUCGACGGUUAGAGAUGGGCAUGCGUGACAUUAGCUAGUUGGUGAGGUAACGGCUCACCAAGGCCACGAUGUCUAGGGGGUCUGAGAGGAUGGUCCCCCACACUGGUACUGAGACACGGACCAGACUCCUACGGGAGGCAGCAGUGAGGAAUAUUGGUCAAUGGGCGAAAGCCUGAACCAGCCAUGCCGCGUGAAGGAUGACGGCCCUACGGGUUGUAAACUUCUUUUGUUUGAGAAGAAACCUCCCUACGUGUAGGGGGCUGACGGUAUCGAACGAAUAAGCAUCGGCUAACUCCGUGCCAGCAGCCGCGGUAAUACGGAGGAUGCAAGCGUUAUCCGGAUUCAUUGGGUUUAAAGGGUACGCAGGCGGAAAACUAAGUCAGUGGUGAAAUCCUGCAGCUUAACUGUAGAACUGUCAUUGAUACUGGUUUUCUUGGAUUCAGUUGAGGUAGGCGGAAUGUGUAAUGUAGCGGUGAAAUGCUUAGAUAUUACACAGAACACCGAUUGCGAAGGCAGCUUACUAAACUGCGAUUGACGCUGAGGUACGAAAGCGUGGGUAGCAAACAGGAUUAGAUACCCUGGUAGUCCACGCCGUAAACUAUGAUCACUCGUUGUUGGCAACACAUCGUCAGCGACUGAGCGAAAGCAUUAAGUGAUCCACCUGGGGAGUACGGCCGCAAGGUUGAAACUCAAAGGAAUUGACGGGGGCCCGCACAAGCGGAGGAACAUGUGGUUUAAUUCGAUGAUACGCGAGGAACCUUACCUGGGCUUAAAUGUAGAGCGACGGACCGGGAAACUGGUCUUUCUUCGGACGAUCUACAAGGUGCUGCAUGGCUGUCGUCAGCUCGUGCCGUGAGGUGUCGGGUUAAGUCCCAUAACGAGCGCAACCCUUAUCAUUAGUUGCCAGCGGGUAAUGCCGGGGACUCUAAUGAAACUGCCGGUGUAAACCGAGAGGAAGGUGGGGAUGACGUCAAGU
rnacentral:rRNA from 1 species